GACAGAGGGUGCAAACGUUGUUCGGAAUUACUGGGCGUAAAGCGCGUGUAGGCGGCUUCGCAAGUCGGGUGUGAAAUCCCACGGCUCAACCGUGGAAGUGCACUCGAAACUGCAAGGCUAGAGUCCUGGAGAGGAAGGUGGAAUGCUUGGUGUAGAGGUGAAAUUCGUAGAUAUCAAGCGGAACACCGGUGGCGAAGGCGGCCUUCUGGACAGUGACUGACGCUGAGACGCGAAAGCGUGGGGAGCAAACAGG
rnacentral:rRNA from 1 species